AUGAGCAGCUUCUGCUCCUUCUCCUCCUUAGACCGCUUAAAACUGACGAGGGUGCCACAGGCUGGGGUCCCCGCACCUCCUGGGGGGGCCAGCACAGCUGCCCAGCAGGUCUCUGUCUCCCCUAGUGAUACACUGUCCCCAGUCUUCCCUCCACAGUGUCUUCAAAUUCAGCCUCUGCAGGGCUCCCUGUCACCUUUCAGACAUAUGUCCACCCAGGUCCCAGUGCCCGGCCACAUGGCCCCUGUCCACUAUCCACUCUUCAGCGCCUCCUCACCUCAUCCCUCCCUGUCUCCCCCUCUCCCUCACACUCAGUAUCCAGCCCAGCCUGUCACCUCUGCCACCUGCUGUGAGGGUUGUGCCGUCCCGCCCAGCUGCCCCACAGGGGCCUUUCUGGAGACCCAGCCAGGCCCUUGGCCUCCCUCUGCUCCCCAGCUCUGCACCACCUCCUGGAGGCCACCUGUGACCUAUCUUGCCUGUUGGAUGGGAACUCCCUGUGGGCAGGGACAGAUGGUGGCUCGCAGCUCACUGUUGAAAAGCAACAGUACGUCCUUCUCGCGGGCCUCGUCGCUCAGUGCCUGGCGGGCCUCCUGGGCCUCCCUGCGCAGCCCCUCCCGGCUCUCCUCGAUGCUCUGCAGCUCCUGGCGCAGUGCGGCCAGUCCCUCCUGGGCCAUGGUCAGCUGUGCCCGCAGCCUUUCAGCCUGGGGAGGAGCAUAUAGCUCUAGAGGCCAGCUGGGGACUACUGCUCCAGGGAUAGCCACAGGGGCUGUGGCCUCUGACGCUGGUGUGGCAGGCACAGGUGCCCUGCCCAACUUGGUCCCCAUGCGCUUUGCUCACCCCAUGAAGCCACCAAUCCCUGCUGCUGAGACUGAAGCGCAGCUUCCACCAGCUGGGGCAGGGCCAGCCCAAGAGCCCAGAGAACCCCACCUUGACCCCCCGGGCCCGGGCCCACCCUGUGGCCUCCCUGGACCCCCGGGACGCUGACCACUGGUAAGCAAAGCCUACCUGGGAUGUGGCUCAGCACACGUGUCCUCACUGUCACCGCCCAGGGCCCUUCCCACCUCCCGCCCCCCACAUCUAGUCCUCUCCUUAGGUGACAGUGUGGUGCCCAGGCCGCUGCCUGUCCUAGUGUGGGCAGCAGCCUCGGCAGGCAGGCUGGGCACUGACCCCGCCACAGUGACCCCGCCACAGUGAUCCCGCCACAGUGACCCCGCCACAGUGACCCCGCCACAGUGACCCUGACACAGUGACCCUGACACAGUGGGGCUCACGCACUCCCUCGGCCCUCCUUCCCCCGUUGACAUGGGAGGCAGUGGGAGGAGGGUCCCUGGCGAUGGGGGGGCAGUGGGAGGAGGGUGUUGGUUCCCCACUCUGGAUACCAGGCAUCUCACGGUGCCCAGGAGAACCCAGGGGUGGGGUCUGGAGGACAGUGGCAGCCUGGCAGGAAGGCCCUCCCCGGCACCUACGCUCUGGGGUGGGGACUUGCUGGGGUUUGGCCCUGGCGCCCAGUCUCCUGCCUCCCAGGUCUGAGCUCUGGGCCUGGCCAGAAACCCUGGAGAGGGCUCCCUUCCGGCUCUCGUGUGUCCCAGAGGAGGAGACGGAGGGAGCCAGGGGGCGUGCCCAGAGGUGGAAGCCACAAAGACUCCGCGACGGCAAGGCGCUGGCUGGCCGAAAGCAAGCCCCUCUUUCUGGCUGUUUUCACGGGAUAUUGUCCAGGCCCCCGGCCGGCCUGGCUCCCGAGGCUGCCGCUGUUAUUGUUGUUCUGUUUUUGGGAAGGGCCGGAGCCUCCCCUCCGCUCCCUCCACCCCCACACGUGGGAGCCGUGACCGUGCGGAGCAUUUUCCGCCGAGCUCAGCAGAAACCCGCCCAGAAGGUCAAGGACCCGCACAAGGGCCCAUGCAUCAUAAAAGAAACUGUUUUCAUUUCCCAGGGCAGAGGAGAUGAAAACAAGCAAAACAAAUGCAGGAGGAGGGCCGCCCCCACCCCACCCCCACCCCACCCGCUCCCUCUGCCUCAUGAGAACAGCCAUCCCUUUUACAGGAAUUUUACAGCCAAAUCACUUAAUGUGAUUAUAAUAAUUAUUUCGUUGCUAGAAAUUGUAUAAACAGCCUCUUUUAAAAAUCUCCUGCAGGGAGGCAGCUCCAGAGCUCUGCAGGGGAGGAGGGCUGUGGAGGGACAGCAAGGAGGGUGGAGUGUGUGGAGGUGUGAAGGAGGGAGGGAAGGAAUGGAGGUAGGUAAAGAAUGGAGGAAGGAAGGAAGAAGGUGGAAGGAAGAAGGAUGGACAG
ensembl:lncRNA